rnacentral:rRNA from 1 species
UGGGGAAUUUUGGACAAUGGGCGCAAGCCUGAUCCAGCCAUGCCGCGUGCGGGAAGAAGGCCUUCGGGUUGUAAACCGCUUUUGUCAGGGAAGAAAUCUUCUGAGUUAAUACCUCGGGAGGAUGACGGUACCUGAAGAAUAAGCACCGGCUAACUACGUGCCAGCAGCCGCGGUAAUACGUAGGGUGCAAGCGUUAAUCGGAAUUACUGGGCGUAAAGCGUGCGCAGGCGGUUUUGUAAGACAGAGGUGAAAUCCCCGGGCUCAACCUGGGAACUGCCUUUGUGACUGCAAGGCUUGAGUGCGGCAGAGGGGGAUGGAAUUCCGCGUGUAGCAGUGAAAUGCGUAGAUAUGCGGAGGAACACCGAUGGCGAAGGCAAUCCCCUGGGCCUGCACUGACGCUCAUGCACGAAAGCGUGGGGAGCAAAACAGGAUUAGAUACCCUGGUAGUCCACGCCCUAAACGAUGUCAACUGGUUGUUGGGAAGGUUCCUUCUCAGUAACGUAGCUAACGCGUGAAGUUGACCGCCUGGGGAGUACGGCCGCAAGGUUGAAACUUAAAUGAAUUGACGGGGUCAUAGCUGUUUCC